rnacentral:pre_miRNA from 1 species
AUGCUACUCCCUCCGUUCCAAAUUACUUGUCGUGGGUAUAGAUGUGUCUAGAUGUAUUUUAGUUCUAGAUACAUCCAUUUCUGCGACGAGUAAUUUGGAACGGAGGAAGUAGACA